rnacentral:rRNA from 1 species
AUUGAACGCUGGCGGCAUGCCUUACACAUGCAAGUCGAACGGCAGCACGGGUGCUUGCACCUGGUGGCGAGUGGCGAACGGGUGAGUAAUACAUCGGAACGUACCUUAUCGUGGGGGAUAGCGCAGCGAAAGCUGUGCUAAUACCGCAUACGCCCUGAGGGGGAAAGCGGGGGAUCGCAAGACCUCGCGCGAUUAGAGCGGCCGAUGCCUGAUUAGCUUGUUGGUGGGGUAAAAGCCCACCAAGGCGACGAUCAGUAGCUGGUCUGAGAGGACGAUCAGCCACACUGGGACUGAGACACGGCCCAGACUCCUACGGGAGGCAGCAGUGGGGAAUUUUGGACAAUGGGGGCAGCCCUGAUCCAGCAAUGCCGCGUGAGUGAAGAAGGCCUUCGGGUUGUAAAGCUCUUUUGUCAGGGAAGAAACACCGGCUCUAACACAGUCCGGGAAUGACGGUACCUGAAGAAUAAGCACCGGCUAACUACGUGCCAGCCGCCGCAGUAA